rnacentral:rRNA from 1 species
GAUGAACGCUGGCGGCGUGCCUAAUACAUGCAAGUCGAGCGAACGGACGAGAAGCUUGCUUCUCUGAUGUUAGCGGCGGACGGGUGAGUAACACGUGGAUAACCUACCUAUAAGACUGGGAUAACUUCGGGAAACCGUAGCUAAUACCGGAUAAUAUUUUGAACCGCAUGGUUCAAAAGUGAAAGACGGUCUUGCUGUCACUUAUAGAUGGAUCCGCGCUGCAUUAGCUAGUUGGUAAGGUAACGGCUUACCAAGGCAACGAUGCAUAGCCGACCUGAGAGGGUGAUCGGCCACACUGGAACUGAGACACGGUCCAGACUCCUACGGGAGGCAGCAGUAGGGAAUCUUCCGCAAAGGGCGAAAGCCUGACGGAGCAACGCCACGUGAGUGAUGAAGGUCUUCGGAUCGUAAAACUCUGUUAUUAGGGAAGAACAUAUGUGUAAGUAACUGUGCACAUCUUGACGGUACCUAAUCAGAAAGCCACGGCUAACUACGUG